rnacentral:rRNA from 1 species
AUUGAACGCUGGCGGCAGGCUUAACACAUGCAAGUCGAGCGGUAACAGAGAGAAGCUUGCUUCUCUGCUGACGAGCGGCGGACGGGUGAGUAAUGCCUAGGAAUCUGCCUAGUCGUGGGGGAUAACUUGCCGAAAGGUAAGCUAAUACCGCAUACGUCCUACGGGAGAAAGGAGGGGACCUUCGGGCCUUUCGCUAUUAGAUGAGCCUAGGUCGGAUUAGUUAGUUGGUGAGGUAAUGGCUCACCAAGACCGCGAUCCGUAACUGGUCUGAGAGGAUGAUCAGUCACACUGGAACUGAGACACGGUCCAGACUCCUACGGGAGGCAGCAGUGGGGAAUAUUGGACAAUGGGGGGGAACCCUGAUCCAGCCAUGCCGCGUGUGUGAAGAAGGUCUUAGGAUUGUAAAGCACUUUAAGUUGGGAGGAAGAGCAGUUAACUAAUAUUUGACUGUUUUGACGUUACCGACAGAAUAAGCACCGGCUAACUUCGUG